rnacentral:tRNA from 1 species
GGGCGCAUAGCUCAGUUGGCUAGAGCAUCUGGUUUACAUCCAGAGAGUCGGGGGUUCGAGUCCCUCUGCGCCCA